rnacentral:rRNA from 1 species
UACGAGUGGUGCAAGCGUUGCUCGGAAUCACUGGGCAUAAAGGGUGUGUAGGCGGCUAAGCAAGUCGGUUGUGAAAUCCCCCGGCUCAACCGGGGAACUGCGGCCGAUACUGCUUGGCUUGAGGACGGGAGGGGAGAGCGGAAUUCCAGGUGUAGCGGUGAAAUGCGUAGAUAUCUGGGAGAAGGCCGGUGGCGAAGGCGGCUCUCUGGUCCGUUUCUGACGCUGAGGCACGAAAGCGUGGGGAG